UAAAAUAAAGAGACGAAACUUUGAACUUGCCCAUGAGUUUGAACACGCAAUGAACGCCGUGAGAAGCUAAAACCGUGAGUACGGGAAUAUUUACAUUGUUUCCUGAGUGAUAUCGGAAUGUACUACGCCACGAGUGAUUGUUUUAAAAACGUAGUGUCUGUAACUAUGGUUUGGAAAUCAGGUCUUUACGAUCUCCGACUGAACGCGUAGCAGUUUUUAAUAACGAGGCACGGCGGCCAUUUUGUUGACUUUCUUUCUUUCGACGCAGUGCAGAACAUGUAUAUCCAGUGAUGUAUGAACCCUGUCCUUAGACAUGUCAUGAAUCAACCGGUGUUUGAUUUUUUUUUUUUUUGUUUACAGCCACCUCGAAGUUCAGACGUUGCUGGUUCCAAACAUGAGUUCGGCUCCGUACUCACACGGAGAUAAAAGACAGGCUGAUAAAAGGAGAGAGUUCCGGAAGCGUGACUGGUCCAUCGAGCAACCUCCUCUCUUGCCAGAGGAAGACUCUCAUCCUCAAUCAUCAGGACCCGACGGCGUACAUGAAGGGCAACGUGUCAAGAGCGAGACCGGUUCCAUUCCAAAAUGACGACAAGGAGGACAAGUACGUGCUACGGGUGACUCAUUAGAGCGAUCCAGUUUGGAUCGAGAUGUAUUUUUCUAGUAAAAUAAACACUUUGAUUGUAUACCUCUACGGUAUUUAACCCAAACUUUAACCUAUAAUGUUUGAAAGCUUUUUUUUUUUUUUUUUUUUUUUUUUUUGGACUGGCAGCGUUGAUUGUGUAAAUGAUAUCGUGUAACUUAAGCAUAAAUGCAUGCUUUAUUGCGGUGAUAAAUGAGAACGAGCGCGUGAGUUUACUGAAAAGCGCGCAGGCAUUUUCAAGGUGCGGACACGAUUCUAGGGAAUUUUCAGACAACGAUGAGUUCCGUUCGCCUGUUUCGGAUUUCCACUUUAUUCGUUCACUUAACAGUGGUUCAUGCAAAAUACGCAACGUGGUAAAAAGUGUCAUGUCGACCUACAGAACGUGAGUAGUUUGGGGACGAGCCUGAGGGCCACCGAGAGGACAACACGAAUGCCACAUCUUCAAAGUGUGCUUUAUGUAAUAAGGAUACAGGAAACUGUCAUUCAUCCUCUACUUUUUUUUUUUUUUCUUUUUACCCUGUUGUGAUUGAUGCCCUUUAGUGUCGAACGUGUUCAAUUUGUGUGCUUACUUUCUCAGUUUGUGAUUGGUGUAUAAUCUCUUCUGUCUUGUAGAGCUGGGAUAAUGCAUGUGUGAUCUGCUGAAAAGAUGACGAACUGUUCGUCCUUAUUCCAGCAACAGAGCAUAUAAACACAGACCUACACCCAAUUUAACUGGUAACACCUAAACAACGAGUUCAUUUUAUGAAUUUAAAGGAUUUGCUGUGACAUGUUUUGUUCUUGUUGUUGUUUUUUUUUUUUUGCAUUUAAAAAAACUUCCUAUAUUUACAGCAUUAAUUCCAAGUGAUUGUAAUUCUAUAAUCGUCCACUAGAGGCCACUAGACAGAUAGCGAAAACUGACUUGGGGGGGACAUUUCAUAUGAAAAAAGAAGAGAGACAGAAAGAUGGAAACAGAUGCGGUCAUUAUGAUGGCGGUGUGUAUUCACCACAGCACAACAAUGGCAGAGAUGUUUUUCAGACAAAGACAGAGAACGAUGGAUUCUUUGAAUCGUAUCUUCUUAUACCUAUUUUAUGUACUGAGUUUUUUUCUUCUUCUUCUUUUGUUCUGUUCUCUCUGAAUAUGGCCUAUUCAGCGAGGCUGAUGCACUCUGUAAAUAAAUGAAUGAAUAAAACCGGUUUUCUGGGUUAGUCACUAAUUUUGUUUAUACUGAACACCAGCUUCUAGUGGUAGUGUAGGAAAUAAUACACACUAUAUGCCAUGUACAGAGUUGGGUUAUGCGUGCGGUGAGGAUUUAAUACCGUUAUCAGUGUUCAGAUCUCAGAUUUUAUGUUUUGGCUUUUAAAAACAAACACUAAAAAAUGUGGUGUGCCUUUUGAGGGUUAUAUUAAAUGCAUAAAUAUUACACUGUUCAUUCUUUUAAAAUGCACAAGGUUUUUCAUCGGAAGAGACACGUCUUAAUCAGAGACACCGCUUAAAGGAAUGACUUGAAUUUUUAUGCAUAAAAUAAUGAAUUAAUUUCAAGUGUAGCGCUUGGUCAGCUUAUCCUUCAAACCCUGAGCAUGCUUUCUUUACAGCAGGGCUAAUAGCUUACGUCUUUUAACACACGUAAGUGUCGAGACUCACACUAAAACAUGAGGUCAUGCAAAAUGAAUCAAAAUUUGUUUUGCACCAACAUUGGAAGUUACACUGUCCUACACAA
ensembl:lncRNA